UGCGAAUGGGCCGCGUAGCCCGUUCACCACCGAAAAGAGAAGACGUCUCUCCAGUUUUCCUCUGCCUCAGGCGACAGCGGCGGGCGGCGGCGUGCUUCUCUCCGACCACUUGGAGGAGACGACCCCGAGGUGAAGUGGAGCGGCUGCGCGAGCUCAGGUGACUUGCAGUGACCUCAACGACUCGUCGCCGACGUCCCUCUCCCCCCUCUCCUCCUCUCAGCGUGCUAGGCCGCGUGAUCUGAGCGGAGCAGGGCGGGGGCAAGGAGGAGGAGGGAGUGACGGGAAGAGGGGAGAAAUAAAGCUAGAUGGUUGAUGACAAUGGCGCUGCAUCGCAAAUUUUGAUGUCUCACCACCUAUCUGCUCUGCAGAAACAUACUUGUCGUGUCUCGGGUUAAAGAAAGAUUACAGCCAGAAGAAUCUUUGAUCGGUGAUCCAUUUUGCCUCGCGAGAAGAGGCGAAAAGGAACUCAAGGCACAGUCCUAUCCAUCCUGCCAUGACACUUGAAGAAGACCUGCCAUGAUCUGAAACUCUCUCCAAGAUCUUCCUUAGGACCAAGAACAGGCUACCUUCGUCGAUUCACAGUCACUAGUUCUGUGCCCUUUAAUGCUCUUGAGUCUGGAGGUCGAUGAAUUUAUAAUUUUGCAGGAAUUCAUGAUUUUGUGGUACAUAGCUCCCUUCCUGUAUGUAAAGUUUGUGUCAGCCAACUCAUAGUCAUGAAUCUCAAUUUAGACCUUUGUUGCAACAUACGCAGGACACCUCCGAAAAUAUCACUGUAUUUGUCAGAAAGGGACACCAUGGUUGUUCCUCCCGCAUCCGUCCGCGGGCGCAGAUUCCAACGCUGCCCUCAUACAUUUCAAUCCGCAUUUGAACUAACCGGGUGAAAUUCAUGCAAACAUGCCGAUA